rnacentral:misc_RNA from 1 species
AAGUCGUAACAAGGUAACCGUAGGUGAACCUGCGGUUGGAUCAUUACCAAUCCUGGACUCGCAAGAGUCCUUCAACCCCAUGUGCACUUAAUAUUGUUUCUGGGUGUCUAGGCACCCAAACUUAUAAACUUAACAUUUGUCUGAUAUUAUUUAUAUAAUAAAAAACAACUUUUGACAACGGAUCUCUUGGCUCUC